rnacentral:pre_miRNA from 15 species
GAGACGUUGGAAGACCUCUCAACCUGUGGCACUCAAACUAUGGGGGCACUUUCUGUUCUAUGCUGGAAAGUGUCGCCGAUUUUUUGAGCGCUACCGGUUGAAGAAAUGCCUGUGAUGCCAC